CUUACUCCUUCCCUCCCUCUUCCCUGAGACGUGGAUCCCUGCAGGCCGGCGCCCAGCUCCGGUUUCUCCUCUCCCUGGAGUUCGGGCCAAUUAAGGGGCAUGAAUAAUGAACGCUGAGCCCUGCGCUUAGCGCUGAAUGCUCUCCCCCCCUCAAAGCCCCAACCUACUACCUCGAUGCCUCGGGCCUUCACGCCCUUGCCCCCUCCCCAAUCGCACCUACAACUCUCCCCCCCAUUACAUCUUUUCUCCCUCUCCGCUUUUGCCCAGCCUGAGCCCCCAGCCCGGCCUCGCCCUGACCCCCCAUUCCUGUAAUCCCUCCCCGCACUUUCACUUAGACUCCCUCGGUCCUUUAAGGUGGAGUACAUCGGCCACCUCCUCCGGGAAGCCUUUCCUGAUUUCCCUGGUCUCUAAUAAGGGGGCUGCAGUCUUUUUGGUACCGUAGAAUCUGCCCAAACUGGGGAGCCUUCAGAAGUCACUUUGGGUGGAGGUGUUUUAAUCACAAUGGAAGGAAAUGCUAAAUUUCCUUUAGAGGUGGGGGAGAGGGGGGAUUCUUUCCAUCCAAGUUCACUGCCAAGGGUUCUACUGCCUUUCCCCUCAACUUGUACUUUAGACGCACACACACACAGACAUGUGUCUCUCUGGAGGUGCACACACGUACACAUGUGUCCCUACAUGCUUGCACAUGUCUAUUCCGUUUGCUGUGUGUAGUGGAAAACCAUCACCCUCAGCGCCAAGACUGCCUGGAACACAGCUGCUCCCCAAGACCGCCAUGCUCUCCUUCAAGCUUCCUUCAAGACAGUCGAAGGGCUCACAAGAAGUCUCUCCGAGUUCCUCCCCAAAGCCGUACUUUCUCUCAAGGCAGAAACUACUUCCCCGGGGUUCUUUGUGUCAUCCCAUAACCAGUCCUUGGAUGGAUGGAUGUCUUCUUCCCGACUGAGCUUCUGAAUGUGAAAAUAAAGGAUUUGGACUGAAGGCUCUCUUGGCCCCAAAUUCAGUGAAAUCCUGUAAUGUGAGACGGGCCGGUUCUGUUGGGUCUGGAGGGCCUGGAGAGAGCUGAGGGUGGGGCAGCAGAGUCUUUGAGAAAUUGUUCUGGUUUCCUGUCAAUUAUUCCAGAUUCUCAAGGAGGCCGGGCCUUUCUGGGGCCUGUUAGCAGAAAGGCUGACGGGGAACUUUCUGGGCCCACUUCUGAGGCUGGCGAAAAGGGUAUGAUUUAGAAGCAGAUCAGAGUCUAUGAUGAAAGCAGGGA